AAAUUGAAGAGUUUGAUCAUGGCUCAGAUUGAACGCUGGCGGCAGGCCUAACACAUGCAAGUCGAACGGUAACAGGAAGCAGCUUGCUGCUUUGCUGACGAGUGGCGGACGGGUGAGUAAUGUCUGGGAAACUGCCUGAUGGAGGGGGAUAACUACUGGAAACGGUAGCUAAUACCGCAUAACGUCGCAAGACCAAAGAGGGGGACCUUCGGGCCUCUUGCCAUCGGAUGUGCCCAGAUGGGAUUAGCUUGUUGGUGGGGUAACGGCUCACCAAGGCGACGAUCCCUAGCUGGUCUGAGAGGAUGACCAGCCACACUGGAACUGAGACACGGUCCAGACUCCUACGGGAGGCAGCAGUGGGGAAUAUUGCACAAUGGGCGCAAGCCUGAUGCAGCCAUGCCGCGUGUAUGAAGAAGGCCUUCGGGUUGUAAAGUACUUUCAGCAGGGAGGAAGGGAGUAAAGUUAAUACCUUU
rnacentral:rRNA from 1 species